ensembl:lncRNA
AGGAAUGUACCAAUGGAUGUGGAAAUGGGCUUUUACAUUGUAAAAUCAGUUUAUUGGUUAUAAGUUCCAGUCGCUGCAACAAACACUCAAACUGGACAAUUUUAUCUCAAUCUCUCCAGUCAAAGACUCAAUCAUGGACACUCUUACUGACAGUUUUCGUCUGCUUCUCGUGCUGCAUUGUUGUCUCUACCUUCUUGUCCUUUGUGCUGUUGUCUGUGCCCAACAAUGGCUGUACCAUGUUUUGUGCUGUUACCGUGUUGUGUUGCUACCAUGCUGUGUUGUCAUGUGUUGCUACUAUGCUGUGUUGUCAUGUGUUGCUACCAUGCUGUGUUGUCAUGUGUUGCUACCAUGCUGUGUUGUCAUGUGUUGCUACCAUGCUGUGUUGUCAUGUGUUGCUACCAUGCUGUGUUGUCAUGUGUUGCUACCAUGCUGUGUUGUCAUGUGUUGCUACCAUGCUGUGUUGUCAUGUUGUGUUGCUACCAUGCUGUGUUGUCAUGUUGUGUUGCUACCAUGCUGUGUUGUCAUGUGUUGCUACCAUGCUGUGUUGUCAUGUGUUGCUACCAUGCUGUGUUGUCAUGUGUUGCUACCAUGCUGUGUUGUCAUGUUGUGUUGCUACCAUGCUGUGUUGUCAUGUGUUGCUACCAUGCUGUGUUGUCAUGUGUUGCUACCAUGCUGUGUUGUCAUGUGUUGCUACCAUGCUGUGUUGUCAUGUGUUGCUACCAUGCUGUGUUGUCAUGUGUUGCUACCAUGCUGUGUUGUCAUGUUGUGUUGCUACCAUGCUGUGUUGUCAUGUUGUGUUGCUACCAUGCUGUGUUGUCAUGUGUUGCUACCACGUUAUUGUCGUGUUGUGUUGCUACCAUGCUGUGUUGUCAUGUGUUGCUACCAUGCUGUGUUGUCAUGUGUUGCUACCAUGCUGUGUUGUCAUGUUGUGUUGCUACCAUGCUGUGUUGUCAUGUGUUGCUACCAUGCUGUGUUGUCAUGUUGUGUUGCUACCAUGCUGUGUUGUCAUGUUGUGUUGCUACCAUGCUGUGUUGUCAUGUUGUGUUGCUACCAUGCUGUGUUGUCAUGUGUUGCUACCACGUUGUUGUCGUGUUGUGUUGCUACCAUGCUGUGUUGUCAUGUGUUGCUACCAUGCUGUGUUGUCAUGUGUUGCUACCAUGCUGUGUUGUCAUGUGUUGCUACCAUGCUGUGUUGUCAUGUUGUGUUGCUACCAUGCUGUGUUGUCAUGUUGUGUUGCUACCAUGCUGUGUUGUCAUGUGUUGCUACCAUGCUGUGUUGUCAUGUGUUGCUACCAUGCUGUGUUGUCAUGUGUUGCUACCAUGCUGUGUUGUCAUGUUGUGUUGCUACCAUGCUGUGUUGUCAUGUGUUGCUACCAUGCUGUGUUGUCAUGUGUUGCUACCAUGCUGUUGUCAUGUGUUGCUACCAUGCUGUGUUGUCAUGUGUUGCUACCAUGCUGUGUUGUCAUGUGUUGCUACCAUGCUGUGUUGUCAUGUUGUGUUGCUACCAUGCUGUGUUGUCAUGUUGUGUUGCUACCAUGCUGUGUUGUCAUGUGUUGCUACCACGUUAUUGUCGUGUUGUGUUGCUACCAUGCUGUGUUGUCAUGUGUUGCUACCAUGCUGUGUUGUCAUGUGUUGCUACCAUGCUGUGUUGUCAUGUUGUGUUGCUACCAUGCUGUGUUGUCAUGUGUUGCUACCAUGCUGUGUUGUCAUGUUGUGUUGCUACCAUGCUGUGUUGUCAUGUUGUGUUGCUACCAUGCUGUGUUGUCAUGUUGUGUUGCUACCAUGCUGUGUUGUCAUGUGUUGCUACCACGUUGUUGUCGUGUUGUGUUGCUACCAUGCUGUGUUGUCAUGUGUUGCUACCAUGCUGUGUUGUCAUGUGUUGCUACCAUGCUGUGUUGUCAUGUGUUGCUACCAUGCUGUGUUGUCAUGUUGUGUUGCUACCAUGCUGUGUUGUCAUGUGUUGCUACCAUGCUGUGUUGUCAUGUGUUGCUACCAUGCUGUGUUGUCAUGUGUUGCUACCAUGCUGUGUUGUCAUGUGUUGCUACCAUGCUGUGUUGUCAUGUUGUGUUGCUACCAUGCUGUGUUGUCAUGUGUUGCUACCACGUUGUUGUCGUGUUGUGUUGCUACCAUGCUGUGUUGUCAUGUGUUGCUACCAUGCUGUGUUGUCAUGUGUUGCUACCAUGCUGUGUUGUCAUGUGUUGCUACCAUGCUGUGUUGUCAUGUGUUGCUACCAUGCUGUUGUUGUCUUAUGUCGCUCUUUAUGUAGUGUUGCGUUGUCUCUCUUGUCAUGAUGUGUGUUUUGUCCUAUAUUUAUAUUUUAUUAAUUUAUUUUAAUCCCAGGCCCCCGUCCCCGCAGGAGGCCUUUUGUU